rnacentral:rRNA from 1 species
UGAGCUCGAUGAGUAGGGCGGGACACGUGGUAUCCUGUCUGAAUAUGGGGGGACCAUCCUCCAAGGCUAAAUACUCCUGACUGACCGAUAGUGAACCAGUACCGUGAGGGAAAGGCGAAAAGAACCCCGGCGAGGGGAGUGAAAAAGAACCUGAAACCGUGUACGUACAAGCAGUGGGAGCACAGAGCAAUCUGUGUGACUGCGUACCUUUUGUAUAAUGGGUCAGCGACUUAUAUUCUGUAGCAAGGUUAACCGAAUAGGGGAGCCGAAGGGAAACCGAGUCUUAACUGGGCGUUAAGUUGCAGGGUAUAGACCCGAAACCCGGUGAUCUAGCCAUGGGCAGGUUGAAGGUUGGGUAACACUAACUGGAGGACCGAACCGACUAAUGUUGAAAAAUUAGCGGAUGACUUGUGGCUGGGGGUGAAAGGCCAAUCAAACCGGGAGAUAGCUGGUUCUCCCCGAAAGCUAUUUAGGUAGCGCCUCGUGAAUUCAUCUCCGGGGGUAGAGCACUGUUUCGGCAAGGGGGUCAUCCCGACUUACCAACCCGAUGCAAACUGCGAAUACCGGAGAAUGUUAUCACGGGAGACACACGGCGGGUGCUAACGUCCGUCGUGAAGAGGGAAACAACCCAGACCGCCAGCUAAGGUCCCAAAGUCAUGGUUAAGUGGGAAACGAUGUGGGAAGGCCCAGACAGCCAGGAUGUUGGCUUAGAAGCAGCCAUCAUUUAAAGAAAGCGUAAUAGCUCACUGGUCGAGUCGGCCUGCGCGGAAGAUGUAACGGGGCUAAACCAUGCACCGAAGCUGCGGCAGCGACACUGUGUGUUGUUGGGUAGGGGAGCGUUCUGUAAGCCUGUGAAGGUGUGCUGUGAGGCAUGCUGGAGGUAUCAGAAGUGCGAAUGCUGACAUAAGUAACGAUAAAGCGGGUGAAAAGCCCGCUCGCCGGAAGACCAAGGGUUCCUGUCCAACGUUAAUCGGGGCAGGGUGAGUCGACCCCUAAGGCGAGGCCGAAAGGCGUAGUCGAUGGGAAACAGGUUAAUAUUCCUGUACUUGGUGUUACUGCGAAGGGGGGACGGAGAAGGCUAUGUUGGCCGGGCGACGGUUGUCCCGGUUUAAGCGUGUAGGCUGGUUUUCCAGGCAAAUCCGGAAAAUCAAGGCUGAGGCGUGAUGACGAGGCACUACGGUGCUGAAGCAACAAAUGCCCUGCUUCCAGGAAAAGCCUCUAAGCAUCAGGUAACAUCAAAUCGUACCCCAAACCGACACAGGUGGUCAGGUAGAGAAUACCAAGGCGCUUGAGAGAACUCGGGUGAAGGAACUAGGCAAAAUGGUGCCGUAACUUCGGGAGAAGGCACGCUGAUAUGUAGGUGAAGUCCCUCGCGGAUGGAGCUGAAAUCAGUCGAAGAUACCAGCUGGCUGCAACUGUUUAUUAAAAACACAGCACUGUGCAAACACGAAAGUGGACGUAUACGGUGUGACGCCUGCCCGGUGCCGGAAGGUUAAUUGAUGGGGUCAGCGCAAGCGAAGCUCUUGAUCGAAGCCCCGGUAAACGGCGGCCGUAACUAUAACGGUCCUAAGGUAGCGAAAUUCCUUGUCGGGUAAGUUCCGACCUGCACGAAUGGCGUAAUGAUGGCCAGGCUGUCUCCACCCGAGACUCAGUGAAAUUGAACUCGCUGUGAAGAUGCAGUGUACCCGCGGCAAGACGGAAAGACCCCGUGAACCUUUACUAUAGCUUGACACUGAACAUUGAGCCUUGAUGUGUAGGAUAGGUGGGAGGCUUUGAAGUGUGGACGCCAGUCUGCAUGGAGCCGACCUUGAAAUACCACCCUUUAAUGUUUGAUGUUCUAACGUGGACCCGUGAUCCGGGUUGCGGACAGUGUCUGGUGGGUAGUUUGACUGGGGCGGUCUCCUCCUAAAGAGUAACGGAGGAGCACGAAGGUUGGCUAAUCCUGGUCGGACAUCAGGAGGUUAGUGCAAUGGCAUAAGCCAGCUUGACUGCGAGCGUGACGGCGCGAGCAGGUGCGAAAGCAGGUCAUAGUGAUCCGGUGGUUCUGAAUGGAAGGGCCAUCGCUCAACGGAUAAAAGGUACUCCGGGGAUAACAGGCUGAUACCGCCCAAGAGUUCAUAUCGACGGCGGUGUUUGGCACCUCGAUGUCGGCUCAUCACAUCCUGGGGCUGAAGUAGGUCCCAAGGGUAUGGCUGUUCGCCAUUUAAAGUGGUACGCGAGCUGGGUUUAGAACGUCGUGAGACAGUUCGGUCCCUAUCUGCCGUGGGCGCUGGAGAACUGAGGGGGGCUGCUCCUAGUACGAGAGGACCGGAGUGGACGCAUCACUGGUGUUCGGGUUGUCAUGCCAAUGGCACUGCCCGGUAGCUAAAUGCGGAAGAGAUAAGUGCUGAAAGCAUCUAAGCACGAAACUUGCCCCGAGAUGAGUUCUCCCUGACCCUUUAAGGGUCCUGAAGGAACGUUGAAGACGACGACGUUGAUAGGCCGGGUGUGUAAGCGCAGCGAUGCGUUGAGCUAACCGGUACUAAUGAACCGUGAGGCUUAACCUU